rnacentral:rRNA from 1 species
GGAUAGACUUGCUCUUAUGANUUAGCGGCGGACGGGUGAGUACACGUGGGUACCUGCCCAUAAGACUGGGAUAACUCCGGGAAACCGGGGCUAAUACCGGAUAACAUUUUGAACCGCAUGGUUCGAAAUUGAAAGGCGGCUUCGGCUGUCACUUAUGGAUGGACCCGCGUCGCAUUAGCUAGUUGGUGAGGUAACGGCUCACCAAGGCAACGAUGCGUAGCCGACCUGAGAGGGUGAUCGGCCACACUGGGACUGAGACACGGCCCAGACUCCUACGGGAGGCAGCAGUAGGGAAUCUUCCGCAAUGGACGAAAGUCUGACGGAGCAACGCCGCGUGAGUGAUGAAGGCUUUCGGGUCGUAAAACUCUGUUGUUAGGGAAGAACAAGUGCUAGUUGAAUAAGCUGGCACCUUGACGGUACCUAACCAGAAAGCCACGGCUAACUACGUGCCAGCAGCCGCGGUAAUACGUAGGUGGCAAGCGUUAUCCGNAUNUUGG